rnacentral:rRNA from 1 species
AUUGAACGCUGGCGGCAGGCCUAACACAUGCAAGUCGAGCGGAUGAAGGGAGCUUGCUCCUGGAUUCAGCGGCGGACGGGUGAGUAAUGCCUAGGAAUCUGCCUUGUAGUGGGGGAUAACGUCCGGAAACGGGCGCUAAUACCGCAUACGUCCUGAGGGAGAAAGGGGGGGAUCUUCAGACCUCACGCUAUCAGAUGAGCCUAGGUCGUAUUAGCUAGUUGGUGUGGUAAAGGCCUACCAAGGCGACGAUCCGUAACUGGUCUGAGAGGAUGAUCAGUCACACUGGAACUGAGACACGGUCCAGACUCCUACGGGAGGCAGCAGUGGGGAAUAUUCGACAAUGGGCGAAAGCCUGAUCCAGCCAUGCCGCGUGUGUGAAGAAGGUCUUCGGAUUGUAAAGCCCUUUAAGUUGGGAGGAAGGGAAGUAAGUUAAUCCCUUGCUGUUUUGACGUUACCAACAGAAUAAGCCCCGGCUAACUUCGUG